AAUGCUUUGCUAGAGCUGGUAAAAUGGAACCAAAUCGACUGUCCAAUGGAUUUGGUCCCCUUCAACCAGCUGUAGCUGUGCAUUGAU
rnacentral:pre_miRNA from 10 species